rnacentral:lncRNA from 1 species
AGGGGUCAGGGGACCAGAAAGUACCAGAGACCAAGGAGGGAGGAGGAGGAGGAGGAGGGAAUGCAGUCAUCCGCAUUAAACAGGGCAUCUAUACCACACCCACUUCUCUCAAGGCUCAGGAACCACUGAGGAUGAUAGGGAGGAAAGACUAAAAGUUAGAGCAGAGGAUAGAUGGCAAAAAGGAGAAAGUGUGAUCCAGACACAAUAGGGCUGUUGCACAUACAAAUUGUCAACAGUUGACACAGCAUACACGAGGCUUGCACAAUCUCCAACCAAACAAAAUUCCAACAUGGAGAGGUGAGGAUGGGAAGACAACAUAAGAAUAUAUGGGCAGCAACAACGGUACAUGAUGGCUUAAAAAGGCUAAAUAAACCAAAGGAUGAGAAAUGACAUUCUUGGGGACUUGAUAAUGAGGAAAGAGGAAGUCGAGAACAUGUGCAAAAUGAAGGCGAUAGAUUUUGUGGUCUAACAGAGAAGAUAAAAUGACUCCGCAUGCAACUGUGCCGACAGAAAUGGUACUUUUAAGCACAACUGUCCUUCUGUGCCCCAACAGCCACAUCUCGGUUGGAUCAAUGUAGAAAAGAUUCAGAAAGGAAAGUCUACAGAAGAGUUAAUUCUAUUAGCUGUUUCAACGAAGGGAAUAUAUUGUGAUUCUAAGCUCUGAGGUCUGUCAAGCCCCUUGAGCAGCUGACUUACAAAUUGUCUGAAAAUAAAGUGGGUGAUGCUUUCUGCUCCUAAAUGUGGUGAUUUGUUCUGCUCUUGUAGAAAGCAGAAGCAGCAGGG